GAUGAACGCUGGCGGCGUGCCUAAUACAUGCAAGUCGAGCGAACAGACGAGGAGCUUGCUCCUCUGACGUUAGCGGCGGACGGGUGAGUAACACGUGGAUAACCUACCUAUAAGACUGGGAUAACUUCGGGAAACCGGAGCUAAUACCGGAUAAUAUAUUGAACCGCAUGGUUCAAUAGUGAAAGACGGUUUUGCUGUCACUUAUAGAUGGAUCCGCGCCGCAUUAGCUAGUUGGUAAGGUAACGGCUUACCAAGGCAACGAUGCGUAGCCGACCUGAGAGGGUGAUCGGCCACACUGUAACUGAGACACGGUCCAGACUCCUACGGGAGGAAGCAGUAGGGAAUCUUCCGCAAGGGGCGAAAGCCGGACGGAGCAACGCCGCGGGAGUGAUGAAGGUCUUCGGAUCGUAAAACUCUGUUAUUAGGGAAGAACAAAUGUGUAAGUAACUAUGCACGUCUUGACGGUACCUAAUCAGAAAGCCACGGCUAACUACGUG
rnacentral:rRNA from 1 species